AAGAGAUGAGAGAGGUGGCGUACCAGCAAGACUACCAAUGGGCCAUGGACGAUUCAAGCUGUCAGAAGCUUGAUUGGACAUUGGUGACCUCAAAUUUAUUGAUCGUGAGUUCGGCUUGGAAGCAAUUUGACAGAGCAGGUUUGAAAACAAUGACUGUAAUGUAUGAUUAAUCAACAUCUAGAACAUCCAGGUUGACUGUAUGAACAUCCAGAAAACAUAGCAGAACAAUGACUCAAAGGUGCAUCAACAUCCAGAAAACAGAGCAGAACAAUGACC
rnacentral:lncRNA from 1 species